rnacentral:lncRNA from 1 species
AAGGGAGCUGAUCUUGGAAGCCUGAGUCCAAGAUCGAUCGCUAGCACAUUUUCGGAGUUCCUCAAGCUCCUUCAUGAAGUCAGCCUUCCUCCGGGUGUAGUCCAUGAAGCCCUUUUUAUGGAGGUCCCAAAAGCGAGCAGCCUCCGUAGUGACUUCCAAAUGGCUCUUCCUCAGCUGGUGAAGUUCGUUAUCCAGCUUCUUUGAUUUCUUCAUCAGGUGACGAACUUUCCUUCUGAGGUCCCGGACCAUCGACUUCAGAGGAAUCCCCUGUGGUAGGGG